GCAUGUUGCUUAGCAAUACAGGACUAGGAUAAGCUAUGCUUGAAGUCUUCUUCCUCUGCUAAAUGUCCUGUAGUGACCAUUACUAGAGGAAAAAUAGACUUUUUCAUCAUCUUCUUAUUGUUUCCAGGGGAGUUUCUCCCAUGUCCAUAUUGCAUUUGCUUUGGAUUCCCCCUCCUCCCAAUAUUCUCACAUUAAAUUUUUCUUAGACACAGCAACUGCUCUCACCUCUCUCAUAUAUCUAAUACAUUUCUCAGUUGUAGGCUCUUUAGUGGGAAUUUUCUACCUCCUUUUUAGAUAACUGAAUUCAUUACAGAUUUAAGAAAACAAAUCUGGAAUGUCACAGGACAAUACCUGCAGGAAAAAUAACCUUGGGAAGACAACGUGGAGAGCUGCUUCCUUUUGAAACCACUGGUUAUCUAAGAACAAACCUGUCUGGCCUUCAAGAUCCUGCAUCACACAAAGCUACAGCACCUUGUGGUACUCGUGCUCAGCACACCUGAGCACACAUCUACCUAAAGAAACAGAACAAAUAGUUCAGGAUCUCCUGGCGGCUCCAUCUGUAAUCCCAGCAGUCACACUGCCUCGGGGGCACUCUUAUUAGCUCUUCCAAUCAUUGCUGUUGCAAAUUUCACUUGUGAAGUCUUUGUUGGUAAUUUUCCUCCACCCAUUAAAUAGCUUCUAUAUCUCAAACUCAACAUUAAAAUUGCAUGGUCAGUGUUUUUGAGCAGAAAAGAUUGGUCAACAGGGGAGAUGACUUCACUAUCCAUCAUAAAUGCUCUGGCACCAAUGUCAUUUAUGCAUCUGCUUAAUCAAAGAAGACAACCUUCAACAUGGAAGAUGGGGAAGGAUAAAAUAUAACAGAAAGGUAUUUUAAUUAAGCUACAAAAAGCUUGCUGGCUGAUCAGUCUCUGAGAGGCCACUCGGGUGUGGCUGAGGGACAGCAGUGUUGGCUCUGCAAUUCCAGCUGCAAGCACUGGGAAUGUCAGGAGGAGGUAACAGUUG